GUGAGGAAUAUUGGUCAAUGGAGGCAACUCUGAACCAGCCAUGCCGCGUGCAGGAUGACGGUCCUAUGGAUUGUAAACUGCUUUUGUACAGGAAGAAACCUCCCUACGUGUAGGGACUUGACGGUACUGUAAGAAUAAGGAUCGGCUAACUCCGUGCCAGCAGCCGCGGUAAUACGGAGGAUCCGAGCGUUAUCCGGAAUUAUUGGGUUUAAAGGGUUCGUAGGCGGCUUUGUAAGUCAGUGGUGAAAUUUUCUAGCUUAACUAGGACACGGCCAUUGAUACUGCAGAGCUUGAAUAAUAUGGAAGUAACUAGAAUAUGUAGUGUAGCGGUGAAAUGCUUAGAUAUUACAUGGAAUACCAAUUGCGAAGGCAGGUUACUACGUAUUUAUUGACGCUGAUGAACGAAAGCGUGGGGAGCGAACAGGAUUAGAAACCCUAGUAGUCC
rnacentral:rRNA from 1 species